rnacentral:lncRNA from 1 species
UGAUGCAGACAGUUUCAUCCCACAAAUUCUCCACAGCAGGUUGCUUUCCUUUUCUCCUUUGAGUCUACUAGGGUUUGGUAGCUGGCGUCCCCUUCACAACUGUAACUGGACAUGAGGCAUGUACCAUCACAUAGUUGCUUACACUCCCUAGCAGAAUCCUGUAAUUGUAUAAUCACCAGUUAUUUUUCCAUGUUAUAUAUAUAGCAAUCAGAGAAUCUUUAAUUACCAUUGUAUAUGCUGCUUCCUCGGGUGGUGUAAACAAUUCAUGUAACUAGACGGAUCUCUUCAGAAAAACUAAGAUUGUUGGUCAAUUCAAUUAAUUAAUUAUUCUGUGUUUUGGGAUCAGAAGAAUAUGUACCAGUAGAAACUGCUAGUAAUUUUACAUCUAAUAGUAGCUAAGUAGAUUGAUGUGUGAGGAGUAAGUAUUAUUAGGAAAGGAAAAAGUAUGAAUGCGAAGUGUUAAGACCUUCUGAGAACACCUAAACCUCUGCUCCCAAGAACUAGACAAUCAAGCUUGAGGUCAUCCACAGCAUCGCACAACUUCUCCCUUGGAUCUCCCCAGUAGACCUUUGCCACCACCUUAGCCCCUUUGCUCCUUGCAACUGUGUCAAGUAUAUCAAGAACUUCUGGAUCUGGGUUUAACCCAUACUGCUUUGACAGGUUAAUAUCUCUGAAUUCCUCCAGAGGAACUAAAGCUGAAAUUCACCAAAUCACGAAACGAUCGAAAAAAGAAAAAGGAAAACAGAGAGUUGUUAGACUAAAAAUAUAUAGUGCUAAAGUAUAUUGGUUUGUUGCUGAUUGAUAAAAAGAAAUUAUUCUUACGAGAUCCAGUGUCUUCAAAAAGCUGCUUCUUGGGAUGCUCAGAUUUGGGGGACUGGACGUAGAUUAAGAUGAGGCAAUCUUCAGCAUCAAUCAGAUUAUCAACAGCCCAUCUCAGGGCUGAUUUGCUGUUUGCUGAAUUGUCCAUGCCAACGCCAA